AGCCCAUUAUAAUCAAAUACAGUGGCUGCACUGCUGAGACAACAUCUUGAGUCUAUAUAAAAAGAGAUAUCUUGGACCUCAGGGACUGCCAACCACUAGAAGAACCUAGCAGAAACCUUUCUGGCCUUGAAAACAAAAAGAAAAGUACAAUCAUGGGAGAUGGUGAAAUGGAGUGUUUCGGCUCGGCGGCCAAUU